ensembl:lncRNA
GGAGAAUCUGAUAGCCGCCUGUCAAAGAAUCAGCGACUUACAGGCCUCCCUCUGCCAGAGGCGAUAAAGCUUGGAGGGCAACUGGGAAUUUCAACAAUUUGAGCGCUCAGGCCCCAGCUUAGCCCAUGAGCCACUGCAGAGGGCUGGUGGCUCCUCCAGCAUCUGGUCUUGGCAAGAGUUACACAUGUCUCACCACCUGGCUCCUUCUUCCCACUGGGCAGCAAGAACAGAAACUGAUAAGUUGGCCUGGUUGGUGAAAGUUUCCAGGUGAGUUGGGCGAAAGAUUGUUCUGGUUUAAAAAACAACAGAGAACACUUGGAAGUCAUCUAGUCUUGAUAAAGGAGAUCAGCGUUGCUGGCCUGCCUCCUGCCUGGAAUGUGAGUGGUGCCCAGACGGGCCUCUGCACCCCACACUGCUGCCCACUGGCAUGCGAGGUGGUCCCAUUUCAUGCCCGGUAUUGAGAUGAAGCCACAACAAAAUCAAAAGAAACCGCCACCUGAUAAGGAAAUGUGGGGACAGGAUGGAUAGAAUGCGGGAGGUUGUCUACAGCCCACUGGCCCUCCCCUGCCGAAGCUGGAGCCGUUGAGAGAAAUUUGUAGCCAACAAAGUAGGCCUCUGUCCUGCAGCCCUGGCCGUCCGCUUCAUGAUGUUGCCUGGUUCCAGCGGCUCGGCAGACAUCCCACCUGGGUGGCUUGGCUGGGCCGUGAGGAUUGAAAGGUUCCAACCAGGGUAUCCCGAGGGUAUUCCCGACCAAGGGGAGGAGGUUGGCGCCGUCCUGGGGCAGAGGACACAGCCCUGUUAUCACUCACACCUUCAAGUAUGAUGCUGGCCCGAGCGGAGAGUACGUUCCUUACCUACCCCCUGGGCUGAGGGGCUGGAGAACCCCGGAGCUGGGGCUGCUAUUUUCCUGGAAGCAUUGCUUCUGGACUGUCACAUCCCAGGAGCUCUGUGAGCGUUCCUGGGGGCUGGAGCUGGUCCCACGGAUCAGAGCUGUGGGCCAGGUCUGUGCCAGUGUGCCCCCAGGAGGAGCUGGCGUCUGCCCUCUGGCUGCUGAGGGGCUGCAGUCCUGCUGAAUCGUGCGUGUGCUGUGACGACACAGACCCCAGUCCUGCGGCCUGCCUUGCCUGCAAAGCAUCAGUUGCCCUGCCUCCUGGGCUCCUCUCCUGCAGGGUCACGGUGCUGGUCCUUUAGGUUAGGACCUCUUUUCCAGCAUUCUCUCCUCCCCCCACCAUCCCACAAAGGAUACAGGGGUAGACGCUAGAAUUUUAAGUUGAAUCCUUCAGCUCUUGAGCAUGGGCCAAGGCCUGGCUGGAAUUGGGAGUCAUGGAGAUGGUGGCCUGGAAGCUUCUAGAAACACAGCUUCUCCCUUCACUGGGUGUGCACUGGCAGGACUUGUGUAGACCCUAGUUCAGGCCUUCUCCAUCAGUGUCUUCAGGUGGCCAGCCUCCCCAGGCUUCCAGUGCCGGGCGGAGAGCCCUGUCCGGAGCACUGUUCCCGGUGCAGGCUGGGGAGGGGGCAGAGCAGGGUGGUCGGGGAAACAAAAGCACCAGUCCUGUCCCUUCCCCAGUGGUGAGGGCAGCAGUGAUCAGAUGCAGGAUUCCUGGGGUGCCAUCUCAGAGGGCUGGUUGGAAAUCAGGGAGAGAACGUUUGCCCUUUGCGCCCAGUCUCUGGAGCCUCCCUCUCAGUCUGCACAUCCUUGCCAGGAGUGCUCCAGGAAGCUGUCCAGGUGCAGAGGGCCAGGCGUUCCCUGGCUGGUCCCCUGCCCUGCGGGUGCACACACUGAGGGGAUGGAGGUUGGUUACCUAGAGAAACUGUCUGCUGCUCUUCCUGUUCACUCGGUUCUGGCAGGGGCAAUGGAAUGCCAUGAGCCUCUCUUCUAAACCAUCUAUCAAACCUACACCUGCCCACCCACCCCAGGGCAGAGGGUGUGUGUGUGUUUGGGGGAACUGGCGAUGAGAAGGAUUGGAUUAACCCAUGUUCCUGAGAAGAGCAGAGUGCUGUCUUUCAUGAGCAUGAGCUGUAUGAGAAGCAUUGUCCUUCUCCCCAGGGUCUGGGAGCUGAGGAUCUGGCUCACCCCUUCCUUCUGGAAGCCCUUGGCUCUGCCCACCACGCCCGUGGGCAUUGCUCCAGUUAUGCCCCCUAAGUCCUCUAGGGUAGGCCACCCCUAGCUGCGUCCUCUUCAGCGGCCAGCAGCUGGUCUCUAGGGUUGGCUGCCCUUGGGGUACCCUUGGAAGGGCAGCUGUCCUAGGGGGAGCCCUGGGUGGAGGUGGGAAUCCUCAGAACGGGAUUCCCAUUGCUCUGCUCCUUGAAGGAGCUGCGAGGCCAGAGAAGGAGCUCUGCUUCAGGGUCAGUGAUGCGGCUGCUCAGGAGAGCGAGGGCUGGGCUCUCUGUGCCGCCUGCCACUCGGCGUGCAAGAGAUGCCUGUUGAACGAAUGCAUCCUCUGCUUUGCUCUUGAGAGCUGAAACGUCCCCUGGACACCCAGACAAGGUGCAGAAGGAAAAGGAGGGCCCGGCAGCUUCUCUGCGGCUCUUCAUUACAUCUGUGGCAUGACUGAGGCCUGAAUUGUAAACUGUGAUGAAAAGCCGAGCCACCUGGCGCUUCGAACCUUAUCUUUAAAGGCAGUCAGAG